rnacentral:rRNA from 1 species
GAUGAACGCUGACAGAAUGCUUAACACAUGCAAGUCGACUUGAACUUCGGUUUGGGUGGCGGACGGGUGAGUAACGCGUACAGAACUUGCCUCACAGAUAGGGACAACAUUUGGAAACGAAUGCUAAUACCUGAUAUUAUGAUUAUAUGGCAUCGUAUAAUUAUGACAGCUAUAUGCGCUGUGAGAGAGCUUUGCGUCCCAUUAGCUAGUUGGAGAGGUAACGGCUCACCAAGGCGAUGAUGGGUAGCCGGCCUGAGAGGGUGACCGGCCACAAGGGGACAGGGACGCGGCCCUUACGCCUACUGGAGGCAGCAGUGGGGAAUAUUGGACAAAGGACCAAGAGUGUGAUCCAGCAAUUCUGUGUGCACGAUGAAGUUUUUCGGAAUGUAAAGUGCUUUCAGUUGGGAAGAAAAAAAUGACGGUACCAACAGAAGAAGUGACGGCUAAAUACGUG